rnacentral:lncRNA from 1 species
UUGGUUCUAUGAAUAAUCUGAAGGUAGCUAUGUAAUUUUCAUCAGUGGGGUUUUCUAUUAUUGACAAUUAUUGGAAGAAUCUUGGGCAUCUUAAAUUUAGUAUUAACGGAUUGAUGGUUACUUGGUUGGACUUAGAUCUGGAAAGUUUUAACAUGGAUCUCCUAUUCCUAAUUCUAACAUUGUUAAUAUGGCUAUUUGAAAGGGCUUGUGGUUUUAUAAGACAAAGGUUGAUCAUUAUAUCAUGGAAAAAAAAAUGAGGAGCAUUUGAUACUAAAGCUUUCUCCUACUUACAUUUAACCGAUUAAAUUUCUAUGUAGAAUUAAUCAGGAGCAAUUAAUUUCUUGAAAAAAAAAGAAUUAUGACAUUUUAAUCCAAGGCUGGAAGGUUAGUCUUAUUUUGAAAGAGAUCAAAAGAACUUGCUAUGAAUCAUAGAUGGAAAGGAUUAAGUUUUAAGAUGCCAUAAUUUUGCCAAAAUCUUGUGAGCCUGCAUUUCGAGAUGGGGAUUGUUUAGGAGCUCGGGAAUGAUAUGAUGUUUUUUUACUUUCAAAAUUUGAAGCCUUAAGUGAGUUAAUUUCGAGGAC